GACGAACGCUGGCGGCGUGCUUAACACAUGCAAGUCGAACGAAGUGGCGAACGGGUGAGUAACGCGUAAUCAACCUGCCCUUCAGAGGGGGACAACAGUUGGAAACGACUGCUAAUACCGAAUACUGAAGGAGGGGAUUGCGGCGGAUUAGCUUGUUGGAGGGUUAACGGCCCACCAAGGCGAUGAUCAGGAGCCGGUCCUAGAGGAUGAACGGCCACAUUGGGACUGGGACACGGCCCAGACUCCUACGGGAGGCAGCAGUGGGGAAACUUCCGCCAUGGACGAAAGUCUUACGGAGCAACGCCGCGGGAGUGAUGACGGCCUUCGGGUUGUAAAGCUCUGUUAAGCGGGACGCGGUACCGGAAUAGAAAGCCACGGCUAACUACGUGCCAGCAGCCGCGGUAAUUC
rnacentral:rRNA from 1 species